rnacentral:rRNA from 1 species
UACAGAGGUCUCAAGCGUUGUUCGGAUUCAUUGGGCGUAAAGGGUGCGUAGGCGGCGCGGUAAGUCGGGUGUGGAAUCAUUGGAGCUUAACUCCGAAACUGCAUUCGAUACUGCCGUGCUUGAGGACUGGAGAGGAGACUGGAAUUUACGGUGUAGCGGUGAAAUGCGUAGAUAUCGUAAGGAAGACCAGUGGCGAAGGCGGGUCUCUGGACAGUUCCUGACGCUGAGGCACGAAGGCCCAGGGGGAGCAAAACGGG